CUAAAGUACAAGAAUAUUCUAUACUGAAUGAUUUACAAGAAAUAUUCUGGAAUGAAUUUUUUCUGAAAAGAAAAGGAAAACAAGCAAGGUUAUCAGAAAGAAUCAAAAUCCAAGACAACUGCCUUCCACCCUCUGGAAUAGAAGGCAACUAUUCAUUGAAAUUGUAAUACGAGAUGAAACCCCUUUGCUGUCUCUGACUUAAGGUGCUGCCUGUGCAGAGAAUUAUUGACUCCAAUGGCAAAAUAAGAGCCAUGUCACAUUGCAGUAUUACUGAGACAAUAUGAAGAUAAUGCAUGGAAAAUUCCUUUUAAACUAUAGUUACUGUGAGAGGUAAUGAGUGGAGUUCAUUUACCUUUCUAAGACUUUUCUCUUUGGUGAUAACAGCAACAACAUUGUUGGGAGGA